CUUGAAGGGUUUUCCUAUUUCCCUCACAGCAGGCAGUUUCUUUUCGCUGAAAGGUUUUACUGCAAUGGUGUCUGUGUGUCUGUCUGUCUCUGGUUUCCUUUAGCAGUAGAGCUUCUCAAUUUGGGGAAUGCAUGUGCCCUUUUCUCCAGCAGUGGCUUUCCUCCUUUUCUCAGUGCGGCCGUCGCCUUCGCGUCUGAGGUUCAGUGGCUCAGACCCCAAGGAAGGCGCGGGCCGCAUGCGCACCGUCUCCCGGGCCACAGGGCUCCUCCUGGAUCCGCGUGGACUCUGAGUGCGAUCGAGAGUGAGACCGUGAGACAGCACCCUCAAUCGCGCUAGAGGCCUGAGUUACCAAAGAGGCGGACUUGAAAAUAGCUUUAGAUCAGGGCGUUUCUUGAGAUUUCGCCUUGCUUUCCUCCCCUGCAGGUCCUAGUUGGCACCUCCCACGUCCAGACAGAGGCUCGGUGAUGAGUGGCGGCUGAUGAGCGAAUCCGUCCACCUCCAGAUCUCUGAAGUGGCUCCUGGGCCUCUCCGAGCGCUGAAUAAAGAGACUUCUAGGUGGUCACCAACUCUUCCUCCAGCUGCGUCCCCUGCCUCACCCCGUACCUUUCGCGCCUGUUGGUUUUACCAAUGGGAAGACAUAUUUCGGGGCGGGGCGGUGGAGGCAAAAAGAAAGAGAAAGCCUGUUUCCGCCCGGUAUCGAACCGGGGACCUUUCGCAUGUGAGGCGAACGUGAUAACCACUACACUACGGAAACUGGAUAAACUCUCCUCUUGAACAAUGUAUCCAUUAAAUUCGAGGUCCCGCCACCAGUAACCACAGCACCAACUCUUAACACCAGAGGAGCCUUGAAGCCCCAAACUCUCUCAGGCACGGAGACGGCGGCUCUGGAGGGCCCUGCUUUAGGGUUCCCCCUCUCCCCUGAAGUGAGGACCCUCGGACCCCCACAGGUUGCCUUUGGGACCCCGCACCCAACGAAGAAUCCUUAGACCCUCAGCUGCCCACCCUGAGUUCAGGGGUCGCCCGCGCCACCUCCCCAGCUCCCGGAAGCCGCAGGAGGCGGGGACGGUGGGUGCGCCCGAGGCCCAGGUGACCCCGAAACCCAGCGGUGUGGAAGCCGCCCCUCCAUGGCUGCGGACCCGCGCCUCGGUGGUCCUUCUCUCGGCGCCGGCGAUCAGCGCUCUGGGCUCUCAGGAAUGACCGACGCUUCCAAUCCAACCGGGACGCGCCCUCCCCGCUGUUCCUUUGCACCUGACUCC
ensembl:lncRNA